CAAUAGCGUAUAUUAAAGUUGUUGCAGUUGAAAAGCUCGUAGUUGGAUUCCACGAGAGCAGCGCUUUCUGGUCCGCCUCGAUGAUGCGUCUGAAGGGUGUGUACUGGAGUUUUGGCGGUCUGUUCUCACGAUUAUUUUCUCAGAGCCUUGUUGUGCACUUCAUUGUGUGUGACUUUUGGAUCUGGGACCUUUACUUUGAAAAAAUUAGAGUGUUCAAAGCAGGCAUUUUUUAAAUACGCUUGAAUAGAUUAGCAUGGAAUAAUGGAAUAGGACUUUUGGUCUUUUUUGUUGGUUUUCGGACCGAAGUAAUGAUUAAUAGGGACAGUUGGGGGCAUUAGUAUUUUUGAGUCAGAGGUGAAAUUCUUGGAUUUCAGAAAGACUAACUACUGCGAAAGCAUUUGCCAAGGAUGUUUUCAUUAA
rnacentral:rRNA from 1 species